GUGAUCAUAAAUCAAAAGAUUGCUCCAUGGCUGAGAGGAAAUGCAUAAAUUGUGUGAGGUACAAGAAGCCUGAAAUCAACCACUCAGCAAAUGACCAGUGUUGUGUAGUUCUUCAAAUUGAAAUUGAGAGAAUUCGUAACAUAACCGAUCAUGGAUAUUAUUUGGUGUUUGAGACUCGAAGAUAAAUUGUGUGUGAUAAAUAUUCUGUGAGUUGGAAAUAAUCGUUGGACAUUGAAUUGUGAUAAUAUAAAGAAAAUAUCAGAUAAAUGGAAAAUGAAACAAUGGAUAUUUGUGAUACAAUAAAAAGGAAAGAUAUUGUGAUUAGCACGAAACAAAACAUGGCCAAAUGACAAUAAUGAUGCCAUGUUUAUCAAAAGGGCAUCAGUAGGUUAUCCAUGAAAGCAAUUAAGACUCACUCACUCACUACGACGUUGUGAAUAAGUGCAUAUCGAGGAUUAUUAUUGAGGCUAACAUCAUUAUUGCUGACAGCCCUGCAGAGCGCUGCGCUGACAGUGGAGUGGGGCCUGAAACCUCAUCAACAAUAAAUGGUAAACAAUUGUGGAAAUAAUCUUAACACAGUCGGCAAAAGUCAUGGGAGCAAAGGCCUCUUAAGGAGAGGUGAAGUUUGGUUGCAAUCAUGUGAGUACAAAGUGGGAGUGGAGAAGAGUUAGAGGCUGAAGGAAUAGAGGAUGGAGGGUCAAGACUCAAGAUCCAAGAUAGAAAAGUGAUUAGCUAAUGACACAAUACAAGUAUGGGAAGUGGAAGAGAAAACCAGAGAGGAGGAGGGGUGGAGGGAAACAGCAAGGGAGGAUAUAGGAGAGAAGGACUGGAGAGAGACAGCAAGGAAGGAGGCUGGCUGUGACAGAAGAAAUUGCAGAACAGACAGAGAGGGGGUGCCUCUUGAUUUGCCUUACAUCCCUUUGGCACACCACUCACACUGUAUAAAAAGGGGAGAUAAUGGGAGGCAAAGGGGGUGAGACAGAUGAAGAGAGGGAAAAAUAAAUUUUAAGUGGUUUUCCAAGUAAAAUUUGUUGGAAGAUGGAGAGAAGUCUGAGGUUAAGAAAGACUGUAAGGUCCCUGCCCCAGCAUUGGGUAAUGAUCCCCGAUUCUGAAGCACCCCAGGGUGGCAACAAACUUUGAGAUAAGGGGGAGCUUGAGGGAACACUCUUUUCCUUUUGAAAGACUUUUUGGCUUAUGUAAUUCAUGAUUUAGUGAUUACUAUUAGAGUAUGUUAAUUUUUUAUUGAAAAAUUAUGAAAGUGUAUUCCAUAAGAAUGAACAGAGCUUGUGAUGACGAGCUUUGUACGGCUGUUCUGUGCUACACACUGCAGUGAUACAUGUUUAUUUAUGUGCUGGGUGGUCAUUAUUUAGUUCAGAAAAAAAGAAAAGAAAAAAAAAAAAAAGCCAAUUAAAAGAAUUAGUAAAUUAAUUAUGAGUUACAAUUUGGAGCCAUAUGGCUACUGAAAAAUUAAAGGAAAUUUUGUUCUAUAUAUUUUUUUCUGGUUGUAACAGUUUAAACGUUAAAUAAAAAUGACACGUUGCUAAGAUCAGCAUGACAUUUUUUGCAUAAUUCUUGCUGGUAGCACUUGAUCCACAAAACUGUUGUCUUAAAAAUCAAAAGAAUUAAAUAAAUAUAUACAUGAAAGAACAGACAGACAGGUUCAGAUAAAUAGAUAAACAGAUACAUGAAUAAAAUUAAUUAAUGAAUAAAAUAAAGUUCAAAACUGCAAAUACCACAUACAAUGCAUGCUUCAAAUUAACAUUGUUUGGCCACAUCAUCAACGUGAACUCAAAUAAUGAUGAGGCUGUAUCUGGUUCCUACUGUUUAAUUCAUAAGAGUUACACAUCAUGUAAUUGAGUUUUGUUCCCAGUGUACACUUCAUCCUUUUCAUUUUAAUGUUAUUUAACCACCGAUUCACACACUUUAUAUUAUGCUACUAGUACAACUCAUCAUUCACACAUUAAUACAUCCUCAUAAUCCCAUACGCUAUCAAUAUUCCCACACACUGUUCAAAAAAUUUCAAGCAAUUUGAAUUUGUUAUUGAGUGAGCAAUGGAAAUUCCUGUUUCAAUGUGCAGAGAACUAAUUUUGUCAGAAUUAAUGUGACAGGUGAAUCUACCUUGUGGAUGUGAUAUUGGUACAUGAUGUGGGAUGUGUACUACCUGCUGUAGAGAAAGGCUCAAGUAUGGAAACUUCACAGUGAAGUGGAACAUGAUGUGCCAGCUGUGGCAAGAAAGGUUUUAUCUUCAUUUUUUUGUUAUGAACUGGCAGAUCAAAUGUUAAACAAAAAGUCAUUCCCUCCUCCCCAUAGCUAGUUUAUUUCCCAAAGUGCACUUGUUCACAUAGCUCCCACAGUGUCUCUCAUGGAGAAGACUAGAGGUGUUAAAUGAUAUGACAAAGCCCUACUUGAGCUUGAUAGGGUUGGGAUCCAGUCAUGGGAAGCACUGACAGCUUUGGGGGGUGUUCUAGGGUGGUGGGGGCAUGAGGCACUCAUGGACAAGGGGUCAUUUUAUGAAUUAUAAUGUACAAUGGGACAAGCUAUAACAUAAUAGUCUAAUUAAUCUUCAGAUUAGUUGCCCCAUCCCAUCCACAAACUUGACGGGGGUGGCUACAACAGACAUAAUCUAUGUAUACCUGACCAAGCACUCACACGUUUCUCCCAUUUCUGUUCCACAUCUUUCACCAGCAUAUUUUACAUAUUCCGAGUUUACAAAUUUUCUUCUAUAUCUUUCAGUUUAACAUUAUGACAUGGCACAUCUUAAAAGUAUUCUUAAAUUCUGAAUAUGAGUAACAAAGCAUAAGGGAAUUCUCCCAAGCAAGAUUUUUAUCUCAAGUCUUAUUUAGAAUGUCCUGGGAAAUACAGUAUAUCUAAGCAGCUUUUUAUUUGUCUUCAAGUUAGUGGCUGAAAGGCUUCAGUUUGACAAUUGAUGAGCUGAUAUUUCAGGCCAUUGUGUGUUUUUAACAAGGGAUUCUUACUCUCCUUGACAACAGAUUUUCCUCCAUCCACUGCAGCAAUGAACAUGACUAUAAAAUUCUUCAUUUAUACAAACAGUAUAAUUCUUACAAAAAAAUCUGUUGCUAUGUAUUCAUUGUACACAAAAGAAACUAGUCGAAGUUCUAUGCAAAAAUGUAUUUUUAACUUGAUAAAAAUUACACUAUAUGGAUACAAGCAUUAACAUUCUUCACUGACUUUAUAUAAAAGAUUUCAUUAUCAAUUACAAUUAGUAUAUCGAAAUAUAUAUAUCAAUUAUCAGUUCACUCCAUUUACAUGUCUUUUUACAAAUAUAUAUGUAUAUGAUGAUCACAUUAUGUAAGGUUCACAUUAUGGUAGACACUUAUGUACAACUUUAACCUCAACCAGCCUCACCAACAGAAGCAAAAAAUAAAAAAUAAAAAAUAAAAAAAUAAUAAUGUGACAGCCAAAACAAGACAAAGGCGAUCUGUGGUGUGUGUGUGUGUGUGUGUGUACUUCAUCGUGGCCUGUUCACGAGUUGGACUCACAAUUGCCAGCAAGUAUCCUCCCGAUUAGAGCAAGGCUCAUUAGUUGAUCUCUGGGUACUGCCAGGACCUUAUGCACCACACAACUCAUCCCCUUUGCUCUAGGGGGGACAGUAACCACUCCUAGUCAGUGGAAACAACCCGGCCUGAGCGGGACUCGAACCUCUGGCUGCACACACCACGAAGCCUGGCAGCGCAGCACUUUAUCCAACUGAGCUAUCAGAGCAGUGUGUGUGUGUGUGUGUGUGUGUGUGUGUGUGUGUUCACAUACAAACUUUUAUUGCAUAUAUUUUUCUUAACCAUUUUUGGAAGGGCAAUACCUAAUUUAUGAACAACUUAUUAUCUGGCAGAUUUCUGGUGUUUGUGUGUGUGUGUGUGUGUGUGUGUGUGUAAGAAAAUUCUGUCAUUACUUCCAGCAUUACAUUUUUUUCCUUCAAAUAUUUAUGCUCUUUUUCUGUAAAAUACAA